UACGGGAGGCAGCAGUGGGGAAUAUUGCACAAUGGGCGCAAGCCUGAUGCAGCCAUGCCGCGUGUAUGAAAAAGGCCUUCGGGUUGUAAAGUACUUUCAGUCGUGAGGAAGGUGUUAAGGUUAAUAACCUUAGCAAUUGACGUUAGCGACAGAAGAAGCACCGGCUAACUCCGUGCCAGCAGCCGCGGUAAUACGGAGGGUGCGAGCGUUAAUCGGAAUUACUGGGCGUAAAGGGCACGCAGGCGGUUAAUUAAGUUGGAUGUGAAAUCCCCGGGCUUAACCUGGGAAUGGCAUUCAAGACUGGUUAGCUAGAGUCUUGUAGAGGGGGUAGAAUUCCAUGUGUAGCGGUGAAAUGCGUAGAGAUGUGGAGGAUACCGGUGCGAAGCGGCCCCUGGACAAGACUGACGCUCGAUGUGCGAAAGCGUGGGGAGCAAACAGGGA
rnacentral:rRNA from 1 species